rnacentral:snRNA from 1 species
AUCGCUUCUCGGCCUUUUGGCUAAGAUCAAGUGUAGUAUCUGUUCUUAUCAGUUUAAAAAUUGCUUUGGGUAUUCUAAAUUUUAUAGAUUUCCCUAUAUAUUUUAGAACCAGCUUAU